UGGGGAAUAUUGGACAAUGGGCGAAAGCCUGAUCCAGCUAUGCCGCGUGUGUGAAGAAGGUCUUCGGAUUGUAAAGCACUUUAAGUUGGGAGGAAGGGCAGUAAGCGAAUACCUUGCUGUUUUGACGUUACCGACAGAAUAAGCACCGGCUAACUCUGUGCCAGCAGCCGCGGUAAUACAGAGGGUGCAAGCGUUAAUCGGAAUUACUGGGCGUAAAGCGCGCGUAGGUGGUUCGUUAAGUUGAAUGUGAAAGCCCCGGGCUCAACCUGGGAACUGCAUCCAAACCUGGCGAGCUAGAGUAGGGCAGAGGGUGGUAGAAUUUCCUGUGUAGCGGUGAAAUGCGUAGAUAUAGGAAGGAACACCAGUGGCGAAGGCGACCACCUGGGAUCAUACUGACACUGAGGUGCGAAAGCGUGGGGAGCAAACAGG
rnacentral:rRNA from 1 species